GAUGAACGCUGGCGGCGUGCCUAAUACAUGCAAGUCGAGCGAACAGACGAGGAGCUUGCUCCUCUGACGUUAGCGGCGGACGGGUGAGUAACACGUGGAUAACCUACCUAUAAGACUGGGAUAACUUCGGGAAACCGGAGCUAAUACCGGAUAAUAUAUUGAACCGCAUGGUUCAAUAGUGAAAGACGGUUUUGCUGUCACUUAUAGAUGGAUCCGCGCCGCAUUAGCUAGUUGGUAAGGUAACGGCUUACCAAGGCAACGAUGCGUAGCCGACCUGAGAGGGUGAUCGGACACACUGGAACUGAGACACGGUCCAGACUCCUACAGGAGGCAGCAGUAGGGAAUCUUCCGCAAUGGGCGAAAGCCUGACGGAGCAACGCCGCGUGAGUGAUGAAGGUCUUCGGAUCGUAAAACGCUGUUAUUAGGGAAGAACAAAUGUGUAAGUAACUAUGCACGUCUUGACGGUACCUAAUCAGAAAGCCACGGCUAACUACGUG
rnacentral:rRNA from 1 species